AAUUGAACUGAAAACUUAAAAACAAAAAAUUAAAGAAAACUGGAAGUACCCAAGUGGCAGCUAACAACCACAACAACAAUAAUAACAACAGCUAACAGCAGCGGUAACAAAAUAACAAAAACAAUCUUAAAUGCUGUUAAAUUAAACGAACAAGUCUGGAUGAUGGAUACGGCUCUAACGAAUCUCUAGCACUACUACUAGAGCUAAAUGUCGUUUUCUUCCCAUUGCCGAUGAUGUUGAUGCUUACAGAACGGAUGCUGUGCUUUAAAGGCAUUAACACUGUUUCUUAAAGCUGCCAGAUUUAUCAAAACCCUAUAGAAUGUAGGGUUCUAAAAAUUGAUUUUAAAGGAGUAGAAGAUUUGCCUUUUUGUUUGUAAAAUAUCGAUGUCACAAAAAAGCGUUCGAAGAGGAAACUUUUUAUAAAACAUAUUUGUUAUAUCGCAAAUCAUUUAAAGUUUAUGUUUUAAUAUAUAAAAGAAAAACUUCAAAAUA